rnacentral:tRNA from 1 species
GGGCCUGUAGCUCAAUUGGGAGAGCGCUUCCAUGGCAUGGAAGAGGUCGUCGGUUCGAUCCCGAUCAGGUCCA